AAAUUGAAGAGUUUGAUCAUGGCUCAGAUUGAACGCUGGCGGCAGGCCUAACACAUGCAAGUCGAACGGUAACAGGAAGCAGCUUGCUGCUUUGCUGACGAGUGGCGGACGGGUGAGUAAUGUCUGGGAAACUGCCUGAUGGAGGGGGAUAACUACUGGAAACGGUGGCUAAUACCGCAUAACGUCGCAAGACCAAAGAGGGGGACCUUCGGGCCUCUUGCCAUCAGAUGUGCCCAGAUGGGAUUAGCUAGUUGGUGAGGUAACGGCUCACCAAGGCGACGAUCCCUAGCUGGUCUGAGAGGAUGACCAGCCACACUGGAACUGAGACACGGUCCAGACUCCUACGGGAGGCAGCAGUGGGGAAUAUUGCACAAUGGGCGCAAGCCUGAUGCAGCCAUGCCGCGUGUAUGAAGAAGGCCUUCGGGUUGUAAAGUACUUUCAGCGGGGAGGAAGGUGUUGUGGUUAAUAACCACAGCAAUUGACGUUACCCGCAGAAGAAGCACCGGCUAACUCCGUGCCAGCAGCCGCGGUAAUACGGAGGGUGCAAGCGUUAAUCGGAAUUACUGGGCGUAAAGCGCACGCAGGCGGUCUGUCAAGUCGGAUGUGAAAUCCCCGGGCUCAACCUGGGAACUGCAUUCGAAACUGGCAGGCUUGAGUCUUGUAGAGGGGGGUAGAAUUCCAGGUGUAGCGGUGAAAUGCGUAGAGAUCUGGAGGAAUACCGGUGGCGAAGGCGGCCCCCUGGACAAAGACUGACGCUCAGGUGCGAAAGCGUGGGGAGCAAACAGGAUUAGAUACCCUGGUAGUCCACGCCGUAAACGAUGUCUACUUGGAGGUUGUGCCCUUGAGGCGUGGCUUCCGGAGCUAACGCGUUAAGUAGACCGCCUGGGGAGUACGGCCGCAAGGUUAAAACUCAAAUGAAUUGACGGGGGCCCGCACAAGCGGUGGAGCAUGUGGUUUAAUUCGAUGCAACGCGAAGAACCUUACCUGGUCUUGACAUCCACAGAACUUUCCAGAGAUGGAUUGGUGCCUUCGGGAACUGUGAGACAGGUGCUGCAUGGCUGUCGUCAGCUCGUGUUGUGAAAUGUUGGGUUAAGUCCCGCAACGAGCGCAACCCUUAUCCUUUGUUGCCAGCGGUCCGGCCGGGAACUCAAAGGAGACUGCCAGUGAUAAACUGGAGGAAGGUGGGGAUGACGUCAAGUCAUCAUGGCCCUUACGACCAGGGCUACACACGUGCUACAAUGGCGCAUACAAAGAGAAGCGACCUCGCGAGAGCAAGCGGACCUCAUAAAGUGCGUCGUAGUCCGGAUUGGAGUCUGCAACUCGACUCCAUGAAGUCGGAAUCGCUAGUAAUCGUGGAUCAGAAUGCCACGGUGAAUACGUUCCCGGGCCUUGUACACACCGCCCGUCACACCAUGGGAGUGGGUUGCAAAAGAAGUAGGUAGCUUAACCUUCGGGAGGGCGCUUACCACUUUGUGAUUCAUGACUGGGGUGAAGUCGUAACAAGGUAACCGUAGGGGAACCUGCGGUUGGAUCACCUCCUUA
rnacentral:rRNA from 1 species